rnacentral:tRNA from 1 species
GGGCCCGUAGCUCAGUUGGCUAGAGCACCACGUUUACACCGUGGCGGCCGCCGGUUCGAGCCCGGCCGGGCCCA